ACGGCAGCGUUUAAGUGAUGAGUAGGGCUAUAAAUACACAAGGUUAUUGACAACAAAACCAUUAUCAAAAUCUCAAAACCCUAAUAAUGGCGAAACGUUUCAGCGGCGAGGCACAACAAAGCUUUUCUCAUGUUUUUUCUUUCUCUCUUUUUACAUUAUUAUCUCUUAAUCUCUAUAUUAUGUUUCUGCAUUUUGAUUUUUGAAAUUGAUAUUAUAAACGAGAGAAGGUGCUAUGAUGAUGAGAUCAAAUAAUCUCGUUAAUCUGAAUUAUAUUCAUGUGGAUAACUUUCUCAUCCAUUCAUUCUUUUCUGAGC